UACGGAGGGGCCUAGCGUUGUUCGGAAUUACUGGGCGUAAAGCGCACGUAGGCGGAUUUGUAAGUUAGGGGUGAAAUCCCGGGGCUCAACCUCGGAACUGCCUUUGAUACUGCAAAUCUCGAGUCCGGAAGAGGUGAGUGGAAUUCCUAGUGUAGAGGUGAAAUUCGUAGAUAUUGGGAAGAACACCGGUGGCGAAGGCGGCUCACUGGCCCGUAACUGACGCUCAUGCACGACAGCGUGGGGAUCAAACAGG
rnacentral:rRNA from 1 species